rnacentral:lncRNA from 10 species
GCUGGGAGUUCUGGAAUAAAUACAACUUGCAAAGGGUUGUAUUCAGAACAUUCCUACAAGUCAACAAUAAAAGACAAACAGCUUAGUAGAAUAAAUGGUGAAAAAUAGAAACAAAAUUCACAGAAGGAACCUGAAUGCCUAAUAAAAAUAUAAAUGGGAGUUCAACCUCACCAUGACAAGGGAAAUGCAUGGGCAAUCCAACUUUACACUCAGCAUGACUGCAAACAUUACAGAGUCCAUUAAAAUGGUGAGGAGCUGAGCAACAAGACCCACUCGCAGGAGGGGUACAGAGGAUGCCCUGUGACCCCGCAACUCCACUCACAGGAAAUGCCUAGGGAAUCUCUCACACUUGAGAAUGACUGCUGCAUUGUUGUAAUAUUGAGAAAUUGGGGCCAACCUAAGUACUCACCAACAGGAUGUUGUUAAAUAAACUGUGAUAUCUACUCAAUGGAAUAUCACACCCCACCUAGGGGAGCAGAGGAGACUGUGUAUGGACACAGACAGCUCAUGAAGGUAAGGGAGAAAGAAAAGCAACUCACAAAGAUACUGAUUUAUACGGUUUACAAAUACACGUACAGUGAAAAAUGACACCAUCAAGCCAGGCACAGUGGUGCACACUUACAGUCCCAGCUACUUGGGAGGCUGAAGCAGGAGGAUCACUUGAGCCCAGAGGUUUGAGUCCAGUCUGGGCAACACAGGAAAAACUCUGUCUCAAAAAAAAAAAAAACUUUUAAAAUGACCAUAUCAUGGAAAAUUCUGGAGAGCAGUUAUCUUGGGACAGAGAUGAGGCAGUUGGCGGGGCGGGGCGGGGUGGGGGGGAACAGGGGACAGGGGUGGUCACAGGAGUCCUAGCUGCUCUGAAGUCGUGAGUGGGGACAGCAGAGCCUGUUCAGGAGGCUGCUGACUGUCCAGGGCUUUGCUGAGUGCCUGGCUCUGCCAAUGGGAGGUUACCAGCAGGAGAGCCUGUUGCCCCUUCCUCUCUAGACCCUCUGCCUGCCAGGUGUGUAAGCCUUUCUGCCUGGACAGCCUCAUUGAGACAGCCCUAGACUAACAGUCACCCAUAUUGAGCCCAAGCCCACCCUGCAUGAUGCCAAGCUUAGAAAUGUCACCCUGGAGUCACAAAAUCCCUUCUUUGCAUUACCAAAAGAGGUGGUCACUCAGGGGUGCUGGAAUCUUCCCCACCUUAAGGCUUAGCUCCAGUCUGUAGCCCAUUCCCUGACAGGUACCUGGGUUUCCCAGCCUUUGAUGACCCCAAACGCUGUCUCUUCCCUAAGGGUCACUGCCUUGGGAUUUGCCUGCAGGCUAGGCACACCUGGUAAAUGAGGUCUCCACACACUGGGUCAUUAGUACCCACAAGCAAUCACUGUUGAGUUCAUGAACUCUCAGGCUGGAGCUCAGCAGUCCCACUAGGGACCACCACUGGGGUCACAAGAUGGCCUUGAUCCCCAGUUAUCUGGAUCCCCAGUUCCCUGAACCAGAGCAGCUUCCUAAACUCCCUAGUCCAGCAGAGGUUAGGGCUCGCUUUCCCUGCUAGAGGGGCCUCCUCCAAACCCCACAGUGCCCCAACAACACUUCCUGUCCUCUGGUAGACCCUUACCUGCCUGUGUCUUGCACAAAGUGCACACUGGGAGGCAAGAGCCUGUCUCUGCAGUAAGAAGGGCUUGGGGCAGUGCUCCGCUGGCAGGCAGACAAGGCAGGCAGGGCCCCAGCCCAAUGCCUGAGUCAGCAGGCUCCUAACAGCCUGAGUGACCUCCUCAUAGCAUGGGGUCAGUGCAGCGGCAAUGUCUGGGUUGUUGAGGGUUUUGAUGGGUGAUCAAUGCUGGAGGAUCCUCCCUCUGCCUUCCCCAUCCAACACAGAUCAUCUCCAAUGUGCCAGACCUGUGCUGGGCAACAAGGUUGGCUGAGAUGGCCUGAGACAGGGUCCCUUGAUGAACAGUCCACUGGGAAUGGGGCCUGCAGUGGCCCUGGAUGAUUUCAGUAUCUGCCACUCACCUUGGUCAUGAUGCCACAGAGAGUGUGGCAUGGCCAGGACUGUACCUGGGGCAGAUGGUCUUGCUCUUUGGUUCUGGGGAGGAGCGCAAAGUGACUGGGCUCAGGUGAAGGAGCUGUUGGCUUAUGAGGAGGCUGCUCCAAGAAGCAAAUAGGAGACAAGGAACCACUGGCCUGCAGAUGGGGCAGGAUCCUGGACCUGGGCCCCCCGAGUCACCAGCCACAUGGCCUUGGGAGUGUUACUUACUCCUGUGAUUGUAGCACAAUGAGGGGUUAGACUACAAAGUCCCUCAGGCCCUGACCAGCUCUGGGGAAGAAGGCCUAGGACUGAGAGAGGCAGCAGGGAGGCUGGCCAGGGUCACCUCCCAGGUCCAGGCAGCUUUCCUGCAAGUGUUUCCUAAGCUGUCCUUCUCCAGGGAGAAUAGCCUCAGCCCUGCCUGACAGGAGGCGGCAUACACCUGAGCGCCUGACAGUACCCUCGUGAACCUGCCUGAGGGUGGCCACAUUCCAAAGGGGGUAUCUAGGGCCUUUUGCUCUCCUGUGAUGAUCGGAGCAAC